GAGUGUAUAGCUCAGUGGUAGAGCGUGUGUUUAGCGUACACAAGGUUCUGGGUUCAAACUCUAGUACCUCCA
rnacentral:tRNA from 1 species